rnacentral:rRNA from 1 species
UACGUAGGGCGCAAGCGUUGUCCGGAAUUAUUGGGCGUAAAGAGCUCGUAGGCGGCCUGUUGCGUCCGCUGUGAAAUCCCGGGGCUCAACCCCGGGCGUGCAGUGGAUACGGGCUGGCUGGAGGCAGGCAGGGGAGAACGGAAUUCCUGGUGUAGCGGUGAAAUGCGUAGAUAUCGAUCGGAACACCCGUGGCGAAGGCGGCUUGCUGGCUCGCAACUGACGCUGAGGCGCGAAAGCGUGGGGAGCAAACAGG